rnacentral:rRNA from 1 species
AUUGAACGCUGGCGGCAUGCCUUACACAUGCAAGUCGAACGGUAACAGGUCUUCGGAUGCUGACGGGUGGCGAACGGGUGAGUAAUACAUCGGAACGUGCCUAGUAGUGGGGGAUAACUACUCGAAAGAGUGGCUAAUACCGCAUGAGAUCUACGGAUGAAAGCAGGGGAUCGCAAGACCUUGUGCUACUAGAGCGGCCGAUGGCAGAUUAGGUAGUUGGUGGGAUAAAAGCUUACCAAGCCGACGAUCUGUAGCUGGUCUGAGAGGACGAUCAGCCACACUGGGACUGAGAAACGGCCCAGACUCCUACGGGAGGCAGCAGUGGGGAAUUUUGGCCAAUGGGCGCAAGCCUGAUCCAGCAAUGCCGCGUGCAGGAUGAGGGCCUCCGGGUUGUAAACUGCUUUUGUACGGAACGAAAAGCCCCGGGUUAAUACCCUGGGGUCAUGACGGUACCGUAAGAAUAAGCACCGGCUAACUACGUGCCAGCCGCCGCAGUAA